UUGAAAUAAGAGAAGAGUUGUAAUAUCCGAGAUUUUGAUCAAUAAAAGGGAUUUUGAAUUUUGAAUUUUUGAAUUCAAAUGUAUAUAUAUAUGGUUAUAAGGUGGAAUGCAAAGAGGGUUGGUUUCGUCGCAAAUCGACGACCAAAUCGGACAAAACGAAACGCUAGAUUCGAUGCCCCAGUCGUGUUGAACGUGCUGGCGCAAUCCGAUCGGAAAUCCGACGGACGGAUCUUCGGAAAUUUCGAAAAGUUCGCCGUGGGGUCGAAAUCGGUAAAACAGAAAAUUUGAGAAAAACCUAAUAUUUUAUGUACUGUUUUGCGUGAUUU
rnacentral:lncRNA from 1 species